AUCCAGCUGACGAGUCCCAAAUAGGACAAAACGCGCGUUCAACUAAAU
rnacentral:hammerhead_ribozyme from 1 species